GGAGUUGUGGCUCAAGUGGUAGAGUGCCUCGCCUAGCACAUGUGAGGCACUGGGUUCGAUCCUCAGCACCA
rnacentral:tRNA from 1 species